AUGAACGCUAGCUACAGGCUUAACACAUGCAAGUCGAGGGGCAGCAUUUCAGUUUGCUUGCAAACUGGAGAUGGCGACCGGCGCACGGGUGAGUAACACGUAUCCAACCUGCCGAUAACUCGGGGAUAGCCUUUCGAAAGAAAGAUUAAUACCCGAUGGUAUAAUUAGACCGCAUGGUCUUGUUAUUAAAGAAUUUCGGUUAUCGAUGGGGAUGCGUUCCAUUAGGCAGUUGGUGAGGUAACGGCUCACCAAACCUUCGAUGGAUAGGGGUUCUGAGAGGAAGGUCCCCCACAUUGGAACUGAGACACGGUCCAAACUCCUACGGGAGGCAGCAGUGAGGAAUAUUGGUCAAUGGGCGCAGGCCUGAACCAGCCAAGUAGCGUGAAGGAUGACUGCCCUAUGGGUUGUAAACUUCUUUUAUAUGGGAAUAAAGUUUUCCACGUGUGGAAUUUUGUAUGUACCAUAUGAAUAAGGAUCGGCUAACUCCGUGCCAGCAGCCGCGGUAAUACGGAGGAUCCGAGCGUUAUCCGGAUUUAUUGGGUUUAAAGGGAGCGUAGGUGGACAGUUAAGUCAGUUGUGAAAGUUUGCGGCUCAACCGUAAAAUUGCAGUUGAUACUGGCUGUCUUGAGUACAGUAGAGGUGGGCGGAAUUCGUGGUGUAGCGGUGAAAUGCUUAGAUAUCACGAAGAACUCCGAUUGCGAAGGCAGCUCACUGGACUGCAACUGACACUGAUGCUCGAAAGUGUGGGUAUCAAACAGGAUUAGAUACCCUGGUAGUCCACACAGUAAACGAUGAAUACUCGCUGUUUGCGAUAUACAGUAAGCGGCCAAGCGAAAGCAUUAAGUAUUCCACCUGGGGAGUACGCCGGCAACGGUGAAACUCAAAGGAAUUGACGGGGGCCCGCACAAGCGGAGGAACAUGUGGUUUAAUUCGAUGAUACGCGAGGAACCUUACCCGGGCUUGAAAGUUAGUGACGGACUUGGAAACAAGUCUUCCCUUCGGGGCACGAAACUAGGUGCUGCAUGGUUGUCGUCAGCUCGUGCCGUGAGGUGUCGGCUUAAGUGCCAUAACGAGCGCAACCCUUAUCUUUAGUUACUAACAGGUCAUGCUGAGGACUCUAGAGAGACUGCCGUCGUAAGAUGUGAGGAAGGUGGGGAUGACGUCAAAUCAGCACGGCCCUUACGUCCGGGGCUACACACGUGUUACAAUGGGGGGUACAGAAGGCAGCUACCUGGUGACAGGAUGCUAAUCCCAAAAGCCUCUCUCAGUUCGGAUCGAAGUCUGCAACCCGACUUCGUGAAGCUGGAUUCGCUAGUAAUCGCGCAUCAGCCAUGGCGCGGUGAAUACGUUCCCGGGCCUUGUACACACCGCCCGUCAAGCCAUGAAAGCCGGGGGUACCUGAAGUACGUAACCGCAAGGAGCGUCCUAGGGUAAAACUGGUAAUUGGGGCU
rnacentral:rRNA from 1 species